ensembl:ncRNA asRNA:CR44201 antisense RNA:CR44201
UUCAUCUUCAAAAAAAUAUAAAUAAAAUCUUUAGACAUGUACCUAAAUUAUAAAAACAAAUAAAUAUUUUCCGAUGCCUACAAUAGAUUUUCAUUGAGUUCUGAAAAAAAAAGGAAAUUAUGCUGCCGCAUGCUGUAGUUGAAGCUAUCAUAUCUACAAAAACGAGUUACGAAAUGUAAAAAUAGAAUAUCCAUAUGGAACUAUCUUUUUUACACGCAUGACAAUUCUAAAAUGCCUUUGAAUGAAAUUCCAUCUGAUUGCGGAGGAGUUUCUGUUGGAAGUGUUCCUUGUAGAUGAUAUCUACAUCCAUAUUAAGAUUGGUAUUGUACCGCCACUAUGGACUAUUCAAAUAACCUUUUCCUAGAGUCAUGACAUUAGAAGGGCCUACUCAAAUGGAACCUUGCGAAUCGCAUGCACAAACGGAAAACCACUUACUGGGUCAACUCAAUGGUGGCCUUGCGGCUCAGCGCCCAGCUGCGUCGCUGCUUGGGAUCCUUAGGCACAUCGGUGGCGUUCUCGUACCUGGGCCAGAUACAAAAGCGAUUGUCAUUGUAUCAAUAUCAAAUUAAGAUAAGCCGGAGCAAUCGACCUUACCCCAGAAAGUACAGCGAGAACUUGGCCUCGGGGAAGUCCAGUUUCACCAGCAAGGUCAUCCCGAGGACGCCCGUGUAGAAAGGCAGCGACUUGCGUGGAUCCUUGAUGCGGUACAUGGUUUGCUGGAAGAGGAAGUCCUGCGCCGCCGACAGCGGGUUAGUUGCGUUGCGCGAUGGCGCGGUCUGCCCGACUGGAACCCACUCACCUUGGUGGACGAAUCCGGCUUCUGGCACAGCUCGUCCGCCUGGGCAUUGCUCAGUCCUGUCACGUCGCCCAUUCCGAUGCUUUAAGGCAAUUAACCAACCACCUGUUGAUAAAAUCCGCGAGGGAAUUGCCAGUGUGACCCUCGCUCAGCCGGUGAAACGUACCAUCGGGCGGCGAAAAUGUGCACACAAUUUUAUCGCCAAAAAAGUAAGGUGGGGCUGCGAACCAACUAAUUUAUACCCUCGCAUUUAUAUGAAAUCAAACCACCUCUACUCUGAAAUAUUGUGUAAAACCAGAAAUCCAUUUCUGUGCAUAAUUCUCAUUAUUCACUUUAAAGUGCAAAGUAUAUAAAGCAUAAUGUGCCCAUUGCACAUUAUUCUUAUUGAAUAAAUAAAGCAACU